GGGGGAGGCGAGGCGCAGGUGGCUCCCCGCGGCCCCGCGCCCCGCGGCUCCCGGACGCACCAGGCAGCCAAUGGCUGUGCAGAGGUGUACAGCAGAUGGCGUCCGACUGCGCCGUUCCUUCCUCCUCCUCCUCCUCCUCCUCCUCCUCCUUUCUUCCUCCUCCUCCUCCUCCAGUGCUGAGGAGCCAGAGUCGCCGCCGGGUUGCCAGACGCUGGAAUGGGUGGUCUCCCGAAACACACCACCAUCUUUCUUGCGCUCGGGAAGCUUGGGGCUCGGCGGCUCCCAGAGGCUACGGCGGCGGCUCUGGCGAGACGGCAUCUAUGUGUGGAGUUCUGAUGGUAAAGGAUUUAAAUGGAGAAGGGCACCACUCUCUACUGAGAAUUCUGGAAAAUUUUGAAGAGGAGAAUGUGAUGGAGAAUAGGGACCUGGGUAAUAACAGCCAUUUGAGGAUCUGUAAGGUAAGGCUUACCAAUAUCCAUGUAGGCAACAAGUAUGACUAGUAAUUAUUACUAUUAAUUAAUUACCUAUGAAUUGCUGCAUACCUAGCUAGAUACAUUAGAAUUUGUUUGUCUAAUCCUCAUAAUAAUGUUGCAAAGUAGGUACUGUUAUUUAGUCCCAUUUUUUUUUUUGUAAUAGGAAAGAGAAUCCGAGGGACCUCUAGCACCUUGUCUAAGGUGAAUGCAACUGGUAAACCACAGAGCCUAGAUGUGCAUUUAGAUUGUUGGAUUGCAAGGCCCAUUCUGCUUCUGAUAAACCAGACUACCCUAAGCCUGAGGUUUUACUCAGUGGGUUCAGUCUUUUCUGCUGCUGGAAUUUAUCCAAAAUGCAAGAACACACAUACUUACCUACUGCCAAGGCCUCUAUAGUCAAUGGAGAUGACUGACAGGAAGAAUAUUGCUGAAUUACUUCUGCUUGGGGGUAGAAGCAUCAUUUGGAAAUACGGAAAAAGGCUGCAUUUUGAUUUUGCACAGACCUUGUGCAUGAAGAUUAUAUCAUCUUAAAAUUGUAAAGAACUAGAUACAUUCACUUAUAAAAGUGUUGGCUUCCUGAGGAACCAUUGGGAAAUUCAGAAAAGACAGACAUAUUUAGGAAAUCCACACCAUAUUCCUUUGUAUUAAUGGCUUAUCAUUAGGACAGAACUGUCCUGCCAACUAUGCAAAGCAUUAGCUUUUGAAAUUAGCAUAAAGAAUAUAAAAAAGGGAAAAUGAGUUGUUUGAUGUAAGGGGUGGUUGCUGGUGGGUGCCUGGGUCACUCCUGUGAUCUGGUCAGGUGAGUGCCCUUGUCUGUCCUCUUUGCUCUAGGUAUAUCCCAACUGGAAACUGUUCUCGGUCAAAGAGGACAGCUUACUGAGAAGAGGAGACCUGUUCUUUAGUUGAGCAUGUGUAAGAAGUCACAGUUCUGAAGAUCUGUUUCUUGAAAGUAUUUUGAUGGCUCAGUAUGAGUUUUCUUGACAUGAACUUUCAUGAAAGUGUAUAAUAAACUCAUUUCCAAUACUAAUUAUUUCGAAACAAAUAUACUGUUGGAAUCUGACCAGUUUCUCUCUUUGCCUCUGGCAGAAUCAUAUAGGAAGAAGCUCAGAAAAGUCGAAGUUGUAAAGAGAUUUUUACUCAUUCCAGGAAUGAGCUUUUUCACAUUCAGGGCUGUCUAGAAGUGUGAUAGGCUGUCUCAGGGAAAUGUGAGUUACCCGUCUUUGGGAGUAUUCAAGCAGAGUAUGAGCAACUACACGUCAGGGUGCUUUGCAAAGAGGAUGUGCACACUGAAUAUUAGUAGUUGAGAUUUAUUGAACAUAUACUGUGUGCCAGACGCUACUCUACAUGGAUUAACUUAUGAAAUCCUCUCAAAAAACUUAUGAAGUUGAUUGUAUUAUUAUUAUUUUUAUCUUACAAAUAUAGAAAUAGUGAGUGAUUUGCGUCAAGUCGGGAGUUGCACACAGGCAGUCUCCUUCUAGAGCAGUACAGGUCCUUAGAAAUUGAACAUGAACCACAAAUGCAAUUCAUGUAUGCAAUCUUAUAUUUUUUAGUAGCCA
ensembl:lncRNA